CCUACGGGCGGCAGCAGUGGGGAAUAUUGCACAAUGGGCGCAAGCCUGAUGCAGCCAUGCCGCGUGUGUGAAGAAGGCCUUCGGGUUGUAAAGCACUUUCAGCGGGGAGGAAGGCGGUGAGGUUAAUAACCUCAUCGAUUGACGUUACCCGCAGAAGAAGCACCGGCUAACUCCGUGCCAGCAGCCGCGGUAAUACGGAGGGUGCAAGCGUUAAUCGGAAUUACUGGGCGUAAAGCGCACGCAGGCGGUCUGUCAAGUCGGAUGUGAAAUCCCCGGGCUCAACCUGGGAACUGCAUUCGAAACUGGCAGGCUAGAGUCUUGUAGAGGGGGGUAGAAUUCCAGGUGUAGCGGUGAAAUGCGUAGAGAUCUGGAGGAAUACCGGUGGCGAAGGCGGCCCCCUGGACAAAGACUGACGCUCAGGUGCGAAAGCGUGGGGAGCAAACAGGAUUAGAUACCCCAGUAGUC
rnacentral:rRNA from 1 species